rnacentral:rRNA from 1 species
CCUACGGGAGGCAGCAGUGGGGAAUAUUGCGCCAUGGGCGAAAGCCUGACGCAGCGACGCCGCGUGAGGGAUGAAGGUCUUCGGAUCGUAAACCUCUGUCAGCAGGGAAGAACGGUCACUGUGCUAAUCAGCAGUCACUUGACGGUACCUGCACAGGAAGCACCGGCUAACUCCGUGCCAGCAGCCGCGGUAAUACGGAGGGUGCGAGCGUUAAUCGGAAGUACUGGGCGUAAAGCGCUCGUAGGCGGGAUGGCAAGUCAAGGGUGAAAUCCCCGCGCUCAACGUGGGAACUGCCUUUGAAACUGGCAAACUGGAGUGUGGGAGAGGAUAGUGGAAUUCCAGGUGUAGGAGUGAAAUCCGUAGAUAUCUGGAGGAACAUCAGUGGCGAAGGCGACUAUCUGGCACAUAACUGACGCUGAGGAGCGAAAGCGUGGGUAGCAAACAGGAUUAGAUACCCCAGUAGUC